AAUCAAUCUCCAUUUACUGCAGGAUUCUGGGCUGUUGGGUGGAUCCUGUAUUCCCUUCCCCUCAUGGAUCAGCUGUGCCCUGUGUUUCUUUAGAAGUGCAGCUGGGAAGCGUUCAGCUCCAACCAGAACACGUGGCAGGACUUGGACCGAGCUGAGGGAGUGGAGCAGUCAGCAGAGAGCACGAGGAUAUAUCAAUAAAGUUUAAAAGAGAGAUAUAGACACAUUCCACUAGCAGCACCUUUGUGGAUUGUUACAAUAUGGGCUCAGACAACAAUCAGAUUCUCCAAGGCAUUGAAACUGAACGGAUUAGUCUCCUUUACUUCUUAUCAAACUCAGAGACAACUCACCUCAGUGAGGUCGAAUUGGAAUAAACACACAUCAGGUGUGAAGAAAUAAAUCUUUUUGCUCCUGAGGGCUGGCAUCAUGCAUGAGAGGGGAUGGAUGGAUCCUUCCUGGUACACUUCUGUUGUUCCAGCCCAGGUUAUUAAAACCCAUGACUCUAGGGAUGGUGAGGCAGGGAAUCCAGAGAAGCCACAGAUCAUAUCGUUGUCUCACUUCUGGAGGAAAAUAACUUUCUUUAUAUUUACUUGAAUUUCAAACUCCACCUUGACAAAUGCAAGAUAAGCACAAUUUUGGACUACAGUGAAAGUGAAAUUUAUAUUGCGCCUCUAUGCCUUCACUGUUCCACUCUCAAAAGAGGAUAUGUAGUCAAGAGAGGUGACGUUUCACCCAUAACACUGGUCCCAUUUCCCCAAGCAAAAGAGGAAAGAAUGACAGAUUCAGCAUUCUUCUGGUAAUUUAUCCCUGCUCCUCAGUGUUUGGGUGUGAAAGACUCACAGAGCCCAUAAGCCUCCACUGUAGUUUUGAACAGUGAUUUCAAAAUGAGCUCAUUCUGCCAUGAUUCUUCUCAUGACACCUUCCAUGGUUUUUCCAGAUCAGCAACUUUCUAAUAGCAGCAGAGAAGGAAAGAGUAGCUCCAUAAAACAGCAUUAAACAAGGAGGCUCAUUGGUAAUUAAAGUGGGAAUUGAGGUAAAGGAAUAUUGGGUAAAGCCUGCUGGAAUGCCUCUUUGGGAUAUUUCAAACAGUUUUUUGAAAUAACAUUUCUGUCUCCUGGAGCUAAUUAUGCAUUUGCUCCACACUAAGCAGAAGGCUAAAUUAAUUGCGAGAACAAUAGUAAUUUGUUGCAGGUUGGAAGGAGGCCAUGAAUACUUGUUUCCCUUGUGGGAGAAGAACUGAUGACCUAUCCUAAGUUUGUCAUCAGCAAAAGAAGGGAUGCAGGACCAGAACAUACAGCCCACUCAGCCCGUCAUGCAGCAGUAUUACCCUCCAGCCUCCUCUUCCUCCCUAGCUGUGCCAGGCACUGUGACUACCAACUGGGUAGCAGCAGGUGGAAAGUCUCCCUGCCUCUCUUUCCAACCCCCUUCCAUUCUUUCACCAUCUGCCAGUAGACUGCUUCAGUAAGAGCUGCCAAAUUCAACACGUCAAUAUUAAUCAUGAAAGUCACAAUGGAGUAUUCUUGAGGCCCAUGCUCACAUUCUGCCUGUCAAAUAGAUCAUCUCCUUUGUGCUGGUUCUUCACAAACAUCUGGAGAUUUUUAAACAUCUUAUUAAAACGGAACAGAUCAUCAGCAGCUGGAGCAUUUCAGAGAUGAAUGGGCUGUAUGCCAGGAAAUAUGGUACUUGCCAAAAAGCAGGUGGCAACUAUACUUCUACAAGACUGUUGCCGUUCUUAUUGUAUAUAUUGAUUUGGACAGGAUACAUCAUGUGGGACAGGUAUUGAAUACCUACCUCUUUUCCCUAGGUUGUCAGAAGUUGCACAUAAAACACAUGCUCUCAGACUUCCAGAGCGUCUGCUUAAAUACAAAGCAAUUCAGU
ensembl:lncRNA